rnacentral:lncRNA from 1 species
UGCAACUCUGCAUGCUCUUGUUCAUGCCCAUUCCCUUGCUGAGCCUCACAGAGGUUUUCCCAUCAGUAGCAUGAGCUCUGUCCCAUUGCUUGUAGCCCCCACAGCACCUUGCCAAUGCCCUCUGGGAAGCCCCUGCUCAACCCUCACUCGGUGUUCACUGAAACUGUUCCAAGUAAAGUCAAUGUGUGUGAUGGCAUGGAGCAAUGUGAAAGGAGGGGCAGGCUGUAGAGAGCUUUCUUGCUUGCAAUUAUAUGGCUAAUGAGGAAGAUUAAAUUUCCAUUUCAGUAUUCUAUUUUAAUUCUAUUCUAUUCUGCUCUAUUCUAUUCUAGUUUCAUUUACAGCUUAGCUGGACAUCUGAGCUGAGAAUGAUGUGGAAACAUUUAUUCUGAAGGACUUUCCCCUUAAAGGCAAGCCUGCAGCACUAAAGGUCUCGCAGGCUGUGCGGAGGGCUGGCAGCAGUUUCUGAUCAACAGCCAAAAAUAUGUUCUUGCAGCAGCGUUUCCACACUGAUAGCGCUACAACAGAGUCAGCUUCGCUAUGGACGGAGUCGGUGAAACCAUGUUUUGACAGAACCCUGAACUCCAACUGCACAGACACAAGGGCAGCCAUCCUUUUUGCUGUCUUAUUGUUCUUUGCCCGUGGCAGUGAUAAGAAUUAUGUCCAUAUGAGUUCAUGCGCACAGCAGGGCUUUUUACACGGUGAUCUUCCUCUGUACCAGAUCUAAGCGGUCCGUACUUGCUGCGCUCCUGUGGGGCUUGUUCUGCGGAAGGAGGCAAAUGCAAGGUUUGGGUUUCUUCCCAAGAAUGCAGCAGCCGCAUUGCAAAUAAGAUCACUACUUACAUUGCCCAUAUUGACAUAGUCUAAAUAUCACCAAAGAGCGUCAGCUGCAAGAAUCUGCGUCACAGACAUUCCUUUAUCUUACUUUUCACAGUGCGCAUGUCCAGUCGCAGUAAGGUGUUCUUUGUUGCAAAUUAAGCGUUAAGAACAAUUAACACUCAAGUACACAUCUGGAAAUAUUUCCAAGAAGGAUUUCCGUCCUGGAGUUUUUUAAUUAUUUUUUUGUUCAUCACCCAUAAUCAUUAAGUCCUCGAUAUUGAUCAGAUAUGUAUGCAAAAUUGUGAUUGCCCUGUUCUGAACCAAAGCAAGGUUGGAAUACAACGCAGAGGACUGAACAGGCAUUACCACGCAGUACUGAUUGUGGUUACCACUGCAAUAGCCUUCAUUGCACUGAUCGCUUGAGAAGACAAGUAAUGUGUGUCUGAGCUUACCAAAAUGAGUUAUUUCUCCAUCUAUUAGUAAUGUGCUGGCUUGCAGGAGAUGAAGCCGGAAAAUAAUACCAUUGUAACUGUAAUUAGCACCACACAUCUGAAGUGUACCUUGAGCUCGUGCUCCUAUUAUGUUCGGAGUUGUUACGACAAGUUUAACUGUUAUGUGGCCUCCGGGGCUGAAUUCUGUUUAAAUAAUGAUGAUAGUAAAAUGCAUUUGAAGUAUUUUAAUGUAUUUAAUUGAUGUAUUUUAAUGUAUUUGAAGCACGUAUAAAAUUCCUCUGCUGACUGGGGCAGCGAGGAUCACCUAUGCUUAACUACAUAGGUUACUACAGAGAAAUAUUUCUUCUUUCUUUCAGAAAAUAUUUCUCUCUGUGUCUUUCACCUUGCUACAUGAACUGACCCAUGGUUGUUUGCAGAGUUUUAUAUAGCUCGUACUGCAUGCUUAGGACUUCUUAA